rnacentral:lncRNA from 1 species
UUAGAGUUUUUAAGAUAUCUCAAGAUCUGUAACGAAUUUGCAGUUGAAAAUUGUUGUAGAAGUUAAUAAGAAUACAUCAGUAUCUCAUGUAAAAUUUGAAUUUGUUUGGACGGUCGGAUGAGGAGAUAUGAGGUGUUGAAGUUCGGAAAAAUCUCCACAUAAGAAUAAACAAGAUUUUAGAAGAUUUUAUCAUAUUUUGGAAGUUGUGGGUUACUUGAAGAU